rnacentral:lncRNA from 1 species
UGUGAUAGGUUUGUCCCUAACACCAUAAAGCUGGGAUGGUGAAUCUCACAAGCAUUGCAAAUAGUGGUGCUCACUCGACAAGAAGGCUCGGAAGAAGAUGCACCUAUAAACAAAAUAAUGGAGUAUAAGAAAGCUUACAACAAAGAAUGACCACAAACCUAGACUGGCAAUAGAGGCAAACAUACUGCACAAAAUGGGUUGAGGUGGUGUAGAGGAAAAGUCUCAAUCACUACAACAAUUCUGGAAGCUGUGCCAAACACUACCUUAGCUGAAUCACUCCUAAUAUAAGCAUUGAAAGGAGUGGCAGGUGGAACUAAAACAACUAGAGUAGAGACAAC